rnacentral:rRNA from 1 species
GAUGAACGCUGACAGAAUGCUUAACACAUGCAAGUCGAUGGGGAAGUGGUGCUUGCACCAUGGUAACCAUGGCGGACGGGUGAGUAACGCGUAAGGAACUUGCCUGCGGGACUGGGAUAACAGCAGGAAACUGCUGAUAAUACCGGAUAAGGUCAUUAAGCUGCAUAGCUGAGUGAUGAAAGGAGACGCCUGCGGAGAGCCUUGCGUCCUAUUAGCUAGUUGGAGGGGUAACGGCCCACCAAGGCGAAGAUAGGUAGCCGGCCUGAGAGGGUGGACGGCCACAAGGGGACUGAGAUCCGGCCCUUACUCCUACGGGAGGCAGCAGUGGGGAAUAUUGGACAAUGGGGGCAACCCUGAUCCAGCAAUUCUGUGUGCACGAAGACGGUUUUCGGAUUGUAAAGUGCUUUCAGCAGGGAAGAAGGAAGUGACGGUACCUGCAGAAGAAGCGACGGCUAACUACGUG